rnacentral:rRNA from 1 species
UACGGAGGGUGCGAGCGUUGUCCGGAAUCAUUGGGCGUAAAGGGCGCGUAGGUGGCCCGGUCAGUCUUUGGUGAAAGCGCGGGGCUCAACCCUGCGUCGGCCAGGGAUACUGCCGCGGCUCGAGCACUGUAGAGGCAGGCGGAAUUCCGGGUGUAGCGGUGGAAUGCGUAGAGAUCCGGAAGAACACCGGUGGCGAAGGCGGCCUGCUGGGCAGUUAGCUGACACUGAGGCGCGACAGCGUGGGGAGCAAACAGGG